ensembl:lncRNA
UCCACAUACACAUAUGUGUAUUGUUAGAUAUUACUGCACUGUUGGAGCUAGAAACACAAGCAUUUCACAACACCCGCAAUAACAUCUGCUAAAUAUGUGUAUAUGACCAAUCAAAUUUGAUUUGCUACCCAAGAGAGUGCUGUUGAGGUGACUCUAGACCUUCAUUACAAAAAAUGGUUUUUAUCUAAAAAAGGAAAACAGUUUUGAAUGUUUCACUAUUUUAUUUUUAUGAAAUUCACAGAGGAAGAUGGUCCUCCCCUUCCUCCUCUGACGAGCCUCCAUUGGCCCAGAGCCAUAUUUGUUCCAGAUGCACCAUUUUAUUAUCAGAGUGUGCCAGUGUACUCCAGAUCUGAGCCCUAGGACCAUGCCUCAGGACUACCUGGCAUGAUGACUCCUUGCUGUUCCCAGUCCACCUGGCCGUGCUGCUGCUCCAGUUUCAACUGUCCUGCCUGCGGCUAUGGAACCCUGACCUGUUCACUGUGAUUAUUAUUAUUUGACCAUGCUGGUCAUUUAUGAACAUUUGAACAUCUUGGCCAUGUUCUGUUAUAAUCUCCACCCGGCCCAGCCAGAAGAGGACUGGCCACCCCUCAUAGCCUGGUUCCUCUCUAGGUUUCUUCCUAGGUUUUGGCCUUUCUAGGUAGUUUUUCCUAGCCACCGUGCUUCUACACCUGCAUUGCUUGCUGUUUGGGGUUUUAGACUGGGUUUUUGUACAGCACUUUUUGUACAGCUGAUGUAAGAAGGGCUUUAUAAAUACAUUUGCUUUAAAUGGUGGACUAUUCUUACUAGGGAGAGCCAAUAUGGCCAAAACAUAGUAUUAUCAAUCCAGUAUUUAUAUACAUCAUUGGGUACAUGUAUAUUUACAGACCACCAAAAUCAAUAUUUAUGAGUAAUUCUCCCCCCACCCACAACUUCUCACCUGAAUGCAUUUUUUAAAAACUUUGAAGUGGUUGGGAAAAGGCUGAAAUGUGGGUUGAGAGUUUCACCUUAAAGGUGAAUGCACUAAAAGUAAUUCUGGAUAAGAGCAUCUUUUAAAUGACUAUAAAAUGCCAUGUAAAUGUGAUUUAUUGUAUGCCUAUGAAAAAUGCAUCAUGCACUUUGUCUCACUAAACUAUGGAGCUAUUCCCCUCAGAGCCUGGUUCCUCUCUACCCAGUACAGCUAGUAGAGGACUGGUCACCCCUCAGAGCCUGGUUCCUCUCUAGGUUUCGUCCUAGGUUCCUGCCUUCCAGGGAGUUUUUUUUCUGUGCUUCAGUCUCUGUACGGUUCGCUCUGUUCUUCAGUCUCUGUACGGUUCGCUCUGUGCUUCAGUCUCUGUACGGUUCGCUCUGUGCUUCAGUCUCUGUACAGUUCGCUCUGUGCUUCAGUCUCUGUACGGUUCGCUCUGUGCUUCAGUCUCUGUACGGUUCGCUCUGUGCUUCAGUCUCUGUACGGUUCGCUCUGUGCUUCAGUCUCUG